AAUGAUCAUAUAUUAUAGGAGUGGGCGUUCGGUUACACGUUCAUGUUCGUAUCGGGUAUUUCAGUAUAAUGGUAUAGAACCCGUUUGGGUAUUUCUACACUUCGAGUCGAGUUCGGGUAUUUUAUGUUUGGGUUCGGAUAUUUUGGUUCAGGUUCAGAUAUUUAAAUUUUGAAGAAAAAUAAAUAAAUAAUUCAUUGUUUAAAUUAUUUAAAAUAUAUUUUAACUUAACUGGUUUUCUAAUUUUUAAAAGAUUAACAUAUUAAUAGGGUUGGAGAUAAAACUUUAAAAAUAUAAAUAUACUAAUUUAGUUGUUGUUUUGAAAUUUUAGAUGCAAUAUUAAUGCAAGAAACAAAAGCUUGAUAUGUAUUUAAGUGAGUAUUAGAUGAUUUUGUCCAUAAUUAUAUGUAUAUUAUUUUGAGCAAUAAGCAUUAUUAAUAUAAAUAUUUUGAAUACAAUGAAAGAAGUACACUAGAAAUAUAGGGUUAAGUAUACUUAUGUUUGGUUAUCUUCAGAUAUCUAUUCGGGUUCAGAUAUUACCCGUUCGGAUUCAAAUAUUACUCGAAUUGGUGAAAUAAGUAAUUUUUUUUGUUGUUCUAGAAUUAGAUGAUUUUUAGACCGAGCUGGUGAAUAUAUACUAGACUGACAUUUAUAUUUCGAGUCUGAACUUAUCUAUCCUAUACUAAAAGGUGAAUAUGGAGUGUUUCUAGCCUGUCCACGUAGGAUAAUAUAUUAGACCAAUCAAAACAUUCUAAUAAUACACGCUGGCAAAAUAACCGGGUAGCAGAUCUCUUGCUUUCGUACGGGCUCCGCUUUGUUUGAUGGGCUUCUCCGGUUCGUGUUGGGCUUCGCUACCCAGUUCGAAUAAUAAAAAAAACUUCAAAGCACGACGGAUAUCACGAGGCUCUCCCUUCUCGCUCUUCGUCUUCACCUUCCUUCACCAUCGUUUCACUUCUCCGAUCCCGAUCCAGAACCCCCACAAUCAAUACUCCACUACAACUCCAUCCAUAAAUUCUUUCUUUAUGAUUUCGAUUCAAUUUACCCUUUCCCUGCUGCUUUAUAUACUGAUUUUCUCUUCUGAGUGCAAACCAAACCCUAAAACUUUUUUGACCUCGAUUCGCGAUGAAACCGAAUGGAAAAUCCCCGAUGAACUCCGAUUAUGAUGAAAAGGUCAUGUUCUUCCGAGAUGUCACACCGGGUCCUCCCGCAUAUGAGGCAAGGCUCUCUAUACACUCUCGCCAGCUUCUACGGAUCUAGAAGCAAAAAUGGAGAAGGUCAUGCAUCCUGAUGUGCGAUCAAGUUUGAGUUGGAGGCUAAGGGAAGAAAUAUUUCCAGGAGAAUGAGAUAAUUUAGAGGUCGAUUUCAUAAACAAAGAAAUAAUUUAGAGCAGAAAGCACUAGCAAUGAAGAUGGAGAGAAGGAAGAUGUGUACCAGUUUGGAGUGAUCCUACUUCAGAUCAUCACGGGCAAAGUAAUGGCGGCUGCAUCCUCAGAGUUGGGCAGCUUGAAGCUUCAGCUGGAGAAUGGUUUGAGAGAGGAACCAUCGGUGUUGCGUAGCUUAGCAGAUCCAAGCGUGAGGGGAAUGUAUGCGUAUGAGUCACUGAGGACCACAGUGGAGUUUUCCAUUAACUGUCUUUGUGAAGAUCAGAGGAAGAGGCCAUCGAUAUAGGAUGUUGUGUGGAACAUCCCUCCAAGACCGUUGAGGAGAUAUACAAGGUUGCAUCUAUAGCUUUUAGUCCCAACGUCUCUGCGAAGAUAUUUAUGGGUUUAAUGGUUAGCCCACCAAAGCCUGGAGACAUUUCUUAUGACCAAUUCGUUCGUGAAAGCAAGGGGAUACUAGAGUCACUGAGAAGAAGAGCAAGAAUCAUGACUGAUGGGUUCAACAGCUGCAAGAACGUUGUCUGUAAUUUCACUGAAGGUGCAAUGUAUUCGUUUCCUCAGAUAAAGUUACCACCGAAAGCAAUCCAAGCAGCGAAACAAGCUGGGAAAAGCCACAGGAAUCUCCACUGUUCCUGGCUCUGGAUUUGGACAGAAAGAAGGGGUGUUUCAUCUGAGGACAACGAUUCUGCCUGCAGAAGAAGAGAUGCCUGAGAUUAUGGAAAGUUUCAUGAAGUUCAAUGAUGAGUUCAUGUCUCAGUACGGUGAUAACUUUGGUUACUCAAGGAUGUGAAAGAAAGGAGUUUGAGUUUGAGAUCACUUCUUCUUUUCUUACCGACAUUAUUAUUAUCAAUGCACACUCUUGAAAAGCUAUAGCCACUGGUCCUACUUUAUACAACUUUUCUUAUGGUCUUAGAAUCCUUUGUAUCUACCGAAACAAACAAACAUAAACCAUCUCAUCAGUUUCAGUGAUGUAUUAAAAUGUUUCUAUUUAGACAUCUUUAAACAAAAUAGAGUUUUUAUGUUUUUA